rnacentral:rRNA from 1 species
GAUGAACGCUGGCGGCGUGCCUAAUACAUGCAAGUCGAGCGAACGGACGAGAAGCUUGCUUCUCUGAUGUUAGCGGCGGACGGGUGAGUAACACGUGGAUAACCUACCUAUAAGACUGGGAUAACUUCGGGAAACCGGAGCUAAUACCGGAUAAUAUUUUGAACCGCAUGGUUCAAAAGUGAAAGACGGUCUUGCUGUCACUUAUAGAUGGAUCCGCGCUGCAUUAGCUAGUUGGUAAGGUAACGGCUUACCAAGGCAACGAUGCAUAGCCGACCUGAGAGGGGGAUCGGCCACACGGGAACUGAGACACGGUCCAGACUCCUACGGGAGGCAGCAGUAGGGAAUCUUCCGCAAAGGGCGAAAGCCUGACGGAGCAACGCCGCGUGAGUGAUGAAGGUCUUCGGAUCGUAAAACUCUGUUAUUAGGGAAGAACAUAUGUGUAAGUAACUGUGCACAUCUUGACGGUACCUAAUCAGAAAGCCACGGCUAACUACGUG